UACGUAGGGUGCGAGCGUGUCCGGAUUUAUUGGGCGUAAAGAGCUCGUAGGCGGUUUGUCGCGUCGGCCGUGAAAUCUCCACGCUUAACGUGGAGCGUGCGGUCGAGUACGGGCAGACUUGAGUUCGGUAGGGGAGACUGGAAUUCCUGGUGUAGCGGUGAAAUGCGCAGAUAUCAGGAAGAACACCAAUGGCGAAGGCAGCUCUCUGGGACGGUACUGACGCUGAGACGCGAAAGCGUGGGGAGCGAACAGG
rnacentral:rRNA from 1 species